UCUCUGGUGGUCCAAUGGUUAGGACUCAGUGCUUUCACUGCUGAGGCCUGGGUUCAAUCCUUGGUUGGGGAA
rnacentral:tRNA from 1 species